rnacentral:rRNA from 1 species
AUGAAAAAGAAGAAUGAGGAGAUUGUAAGGAUUCAAAAAGAACAAAUGCUGGAGAUGGAGGCAAGAAAGGAAGUGGAAAACUGCAUGGAAAUAAUCAUGAAAAAGGUGGUUGACCUAGAAGAAGACAAGGCAAGACAAAAAGCUCUCAGAAUGAAAGAGGAGAAGAAGAUUACGGAAUUAGGACAGGACAAAAAAACUCUUAUGGAUAUUAUUAACAAACAACAGGGAGUGAUUGAUAAGUGUGUGGAUAAAAUAGAAAUGUGGGAAGCUAGAGAAAAAGAAAUGGAGGAGAUCACUGAUGUUGAUCUGAUGAUUUUGGACUCAGAAAAAAAGGGAGAAGAUGAUCACAACAACUACAAUGAGGCAGUGGGUUACAAUGCUAGUCAGGAAUCUGUGUCCUUUGGCACUAAGGUGGGUGUGAAGACAGGGGAUAAAGACACAGACAACAAUGAGACAGAAGAAGAACAGCUAAGGAGAUGUGGGAGACUAGCUGGCAAACAAGAUGCCAAGAUUGAAGAGUUGGCCAAAGAAAGAGCUGCUGCUAAGGACAACUAUGAAAAAAAAGCCGGAGGAAAGAAUAAUGCAGCUGGGAGCAAGACUAAUCGAGCGGGUGGCAAAUGA